GCCGAAGCAUCCAUCCACCCCACCCCCGCUGUCGUGAACCUCCAGGCCCACUCCGCCCGAGAUACACGGUGAAGACAACAAGAUCCGGACACCCGAAGAGAAGACGAAAAUGCGGAAACGGGAUUUUUACAGGCCUUUCCAGAUCCUGUAAUCAGGAUUCCCCAUUCCACCCCUUUCAGGAUCGAAGAUAACUAGCAUACGCCCUCAUCUGACAAGCAAAUGUUGUCUCCUUGCUGUGGAAAUCCUUAAAAUCCCUGGCCCAUUAUUUCCAUAGUCUUUGCCAAAAUGCACCUUUUAGGUGUGAUUGAUUCCAUUGCCCACAGGCAUCAGCUCUUUGAGUGAAAAGGCUUACCUGGGCGUAUACCAUUGAUGGUGUUCCCUCUCUCCAGACCUCCCGCAGUUUAAUUCUCAGAAGUCAUCUAUACUUAUGAUGCAAUAUCAUAGUUCGGCAUGGUUUUUGUAGUACCAAACAAAUGUUUAAACUAAGAUAAUGCAAAACAGGCA
rnacentral:lncRNA from 1 species